rnacentral:rRNA from 1 species
GUGCCAGCCGCCGCGGUAAUACGUAGGUCCCAAGCGUUAUCCGGAUUUACUGGGUGUAAAGAGUCUGUAGCUGGCUAUAUAAGUCUAUUUUUAAAGACCUUGGCUCAACUAAGGGAAGGGAAUGGAUACUAUAUAUCUGGAGGUUUUUAGGGGUUAGUAGAAUUCCCGGUGGAGGGGUGAAAUCCGUUGAUAUUGGGAGGAAUGCCGAAAGCGAAAGCAGCUAACUAUAAUUAUCCUGACAGUGAGAGACGAAAGCAUGGGUAGCAAACGGGAUUAGAAACCCGAGUAGUCC